GACGAACGCUGGCGGCGUGCUUAACACAUGCAAGUCGUACGGUAAGGCCCUUUCGGGGGUACACGAGUGGCGAACGGGUGAGUAACACGUGAGUAACCUGCCCACAACUUUGGGAUAACGCUAGGAAACUGGUGCUAAUACUGGAUAUGUGCUCCUGCUGCAUGGUGGGGGUUGGAAAGCUCCGGCGGUUGUGGAUGGACUCGCGGCCUAUCAGCUUGUUGGUGGGGUAGUGGCCUACCUAGGCGGCGACGGGUAGCCGGCCUGAGAGGGUGACCGGCCACAUUGGGACUGAGAUACGGCCCAGACUCCUACGGGAGGCAGCAGUGGGGAAUAUUGCACAAUGGGCGCAAGCCUGAUGCAGCAACGCCGCGUGCGGGAUAACGGCCUUCGGGUUGUAAACCGCCUUCAGCAGGGACGAAGCUUUUUGUGACGGUACCUGCAGAAGAAGCACCGGCUAACUACGUG
rnacentral:rRNA from 1 species